CAGGGGGUAGUUUAGGCAGAAUCUUGGUUUUGGGGGCCAAGGGCAGGAGUUUGACUCUCCUUCCUCUGA
rnacentral:tRNA from 1 species